UAAUUUUUCAUGUUUUAGUAAAAAACUGGUGCACGGAGUAUGUGUCAUACAUGAAUCAUUUUGAUAGAUUCGAAUUUUAACUCUCAUUCCUAACCAUUUUUAUACUCAUAUUUCAUGUUUUACAAGAAAUAAUUUGUUGUAAUAUUAUAGACAUAUGAAAGUAAAUAACUGGGUUAAAUGUGUCUAUAUAAAUAUGAUUGUUGUCAAGGAUGUACCUUUAGAAUGUUUGAUCUCUCAUUCCCCAACUCCACCGUCUGUUUGCAUAUUAGUAAAAAUCUCAA